CGCGCUCGAUUCUCGUUACGCGUGGACGUUUUGCACGUAUCAUUUAAAAAACCAUUACCGUGUUAUCCUUUGUCCUGAAAUAUUGAAAUACAGUUUGCAACUAAUACACGCGUAGCGCAUAAUAAAUAUUUAAAAUACCACACGUUCGUACUAAUAACUGGUGAAAUUGACAGGUGACGGUUCGUGUAGUGUGCGCUCAGUAAUCAGUUAGUGAUUCCCGCAUAGCCGUUCGAGCAUGAAUAAUAUAGAAGCAACCGGUAACAGCGUCGCGUGUCAACCGGGAGAGGCUUGGUGAUAGAGCAGUGCCGGGGUUAAAGCGUUGAGCGUGUGAUGAGUCUGCGGUGACGGCGGUUGGAUGGCGGCUGUAAGCGGACCAGCGCGGCACUCUCGCGUUUCGAUGAGUGUGUCCAUGUCGCUGAUGCAGGGCGGUACGCAGAGUGCGCCCCAGGGCGCCAUCCUGGCGGCGGCGGCGCCCUACUACCAAACGCCGGCCAUCCCGACCGACGUGCAGCCCGACAGGCCUAUAGGCUACGGCGCCUUUGGAGUAGUAUGGGCUGUGACGGACCCUCGCGAUGGGAGGCGCGUGGCCCUCAAGAAGCUGCCCAACGUUUUCCAAUCGCUGGUCUCCUCUAAGCGCGUCUUCCGCGAGCUCAAGAUGCUUUGCUUCUUCAAACAUGAGAACGUACUAUCGGCGUUAGACAUCCUUCAGCCGCCAAGCCUCGACUUCUUCCAAGAAAUUUAUGUAAUCACGGAGCUACUGCAAAGCGACCUGCACAAGAUCAUCGUGUCCCCGCAACACCUCUCAGCCGACCACAUCAAAGUCUUCCUGUAUCAAAUACUCAGAGGUUUAAAGUACCUUCACUCAGCGCGCAUCCUGCACAGAGACAUAAAGCCUGGCAACUUGCUGGUGAACAGCAACUGCGUGCUGAAAAUCUGCGACUUUGGCCUCGCGAGGGUCGAGGAGCCUGACUCCACGAAGAACAUGACGCAGGAAGUUGUUACGCAGUAUUAUAGAGCGCCUGAAAUCCUGAUGGGCGCCAACCACUACACAGCGGCUGUCGACGUGUGGUCCGUGGGUUGUAUAUUUGGCGAACUUCUCGGCAGGCGCAUUCUCUUCCAGGCACAGAGUCCUGUACAGCAGCUGGAGCUGAUCACCGAGCUCCUCGGCACGCCGUCGCUAGAGGACAUGCGGUACGCGUGCGCGGGCGCGCGGGCACACAUGCUGAGGCGCGCGCCUCGCCCGCCCGCGCUCGCCGCGCUCUACACGCUCUCCGUGCAGGCGACGCACGAGGCGGUGCACUUGCUCGCUCAGAUGCUGGUGUUCGACCCGGCGAAGCGCAUCUCGGUGGUGGACGCGCUGGCGCACCCGUACCUGGAGGAGGGGCGGCUGCGCUACCACUCGUGCAUGUGCAAGUGCUGCUACAGCGCGCCGCCCGCCGCGCGCCACUACUCGCCGGACCUCGAGCCGGUCGCGCCGCACGCCUUCCACGACGGCUGGGAGAGGAAGCUCACCUCGGUGCACCAAGUCAAGGAGGAGAUCCACAAAUUCAUAGCGGAGCAGCUGCAGACGUCGCGCGUGCCGCUGUGCAUCAACCCGCAGUCCGCCGCGUUCAAGAGCUUCGCAAGGUAAGGCGACGCCACCGCAAACAACCAACCAACCAACCAACCAACCAGACACUAGCUCGACAGUCGCACACCCGUCGGAGCUGCCGCCGUCGCCGCACCAGUGGGAAUGACGCGAGUCUAAGCGCGGCUUCGACAAGCGCGCCCUAUAUUAAAUACACACUGGCUAAGACUAUUGAAGGGCUUUGGGCGCAAUCUCCCUUGCUAACGACGAUAAAAACGCAAACGCCAAAUGGGAAUUUUUAUUUCGAUCACGCAAGCAAUAUUGAUCUCAAUGUGUAAAAGAUUAUAAGCGAACACUGUUUCGUGUCUGUCUCUUUGUUUGUACGGAAUGUAGGAUGACGGUGAGACGGUACUAUGAUAAAAAUAAAAAAUUAUAAAAAAAUGACAAGAACGCUUUACAUGUUUCAUCAAAACUUCAAAGCCAUAGUGACGAGUGUCACACUUAUUUUUAUUGAUGUAACUAAUGUUUCGUAUAUAUUUUGGUAGUGAAAUGAAGUAUUUCUAUACAUAUAAGAUUGUAUGAUAAUUAUAACUUUGAAUUUCCGUUUUGUCAAUAAUAAAUAAUAAUAAUAAUAGAUGUAAAAUUCACAAAUGUACAAUUGAUAACACCAAUCGAUGUUAACAUUUCACUUUGUUUAUAUAUAUAUACUGUGAGGAUAUAUUGAAGUGUCUAUAGAUAUAAUUCUGAUAUGAUCUGAUCUUAGAUAAAAAACUAUAAAAUACAUCACGUUCAUGACAUCCUAACUUUUUCGCAUUUACGAUAACCAUGUUCUAAAUAUACAAGUAAAAGACUACGAGAUUCCUUCUAAUGUGCGAUAAAUAAAAAACGUUUAUAUAUUUACCAAAUAUUUUAUAUUUUCACUUAUAUUUUAUAUCGUAGCGAUGGGUGUAUGUUUGUAGAUUAGUAUAGUAAUUGGUAUUGUAGGAAGCAGUCAGUGGGUAAGGACUAAGGUAUCGAAAGGUUUUGAUAAGUUCCUUUGAGUUGCGGCGAAAAAAACUAAGCCCGUAACAUUCAAAUGGAUGUUUCAACGUGGUGUACAACGAAUUGAGAAGGACAUAGUAUGAUAGCAUAGAACGGAGGGUAAUAGAACUUGCGUACCUCGUAUGUUAAAGGGCCAUGCUUGUUAGGGCUAGUUACAUCAUUUUAUUCGCUAUUCCAUCAGAUAGUUGUGUAUGUGAGGGUAGUUUUUCGGUGUGUGCCUGAUCGUUAUGCGGAUUGCAAGCAAUAAACGUUGCAAUAUAUUAGUAAACGUAUUAGCCGAUAACUUUAGUUCUAUGGAUAAUGAAAAUAGAAAAAAAAAAAACAAUGAUUUUUGUGUUCGUUAAGGCCGUGUUCAGAUGGCGACACGUUUGUGUCGAAGUACUAAUGAAUCUCGACGUGUCGCCCGUCUGUACGCGGCCUGUUUUGUGUUUCCCUAAACACCAUUGUAUGUAACAUCGACUGACAUUUUUAUGUAGUUAGGUUAGAUAGAUAUAGAAGUAAAUUGACAUAUUUCAGUAAUUACAAUUUUGAUUAUUAAUAUUGCUGUAUAGAGGGAAAGCAGCAUUUUUAUUCUAGGCGUGAGAAAUGAUUGAGUAAAAUAUUUUAUAUAUCCACAAUCUAAUAUUGGAACGCAAAAGGUAUUUGUUGAAUAUUAUUUUCAUAAGUGUAUGCAGCUAUAAAGCCCGUAAAACAUAAAAUUUGAUUAAAAAUCAAUUUUACAAAUAAAGCUCACUUAAUAGUUUUUACUCAAAAAAUCGAUAAAUAUACUGCUUUUGGUCUAUACUACAAUAAUAUACAUGUGGUAGUGUGUAACGUUUAUUUCAAGCAUUUAUUAUUAGUGAUGUAAUUAUUCUGAUGUGUGUUAGUGUGCGUGCAACUAUUUGUCUUUAUUGGCCAUUAGUAUAAUCGUAAUAUGUAUGUAUGCGUUUCAAAAUUGAUGUUCUUAUUUUUUUGUAGUUAUAAUAUAUCACGCUGCUAACAUGUAAUACAUAUAUUUGUGCGAGUGUCAACGGACGUAGCCUUAAACUAGUUCAAAACUAUAUUACAGAUUAAAAAUAAUAAAAAAAAAUGUGUAAAUAAAUUGUGUAGUAUUAAUUAGUUUGGUAUGGGAUGUAAACCGAUAUAGAAAUCCAAUAGGUUGGCGGAAUUUCUGUACUAAUACGCAACAGAUUUCGAAUAGACGUCUGUUUCAAUGUGUUUUUUGCGUGUUGGUACAGAUAAACGCCUAGAUGGUACAAAAUAGAGUCUGCCCAAAAUACUAUUAGCACACGUGUUGACAGUUACUUGUAAAGAGGAAAGAAAGUUCUAGAAUGUUUCCCGGUAAAUUGAAGUAAAAAAACGAGGAUUUUGUUUUUGCUGGUACGCCAAAAUGCGUGCACGUGCGUAAUAAUAGUGUAUUGGACAACGGACCCCACCUUGCCUUAUACAGAUAACUGUUACUGUGAUCAAAAAUACAGCCUCCAUGCUGCCGCGUAUGACCUGUAUAUAGAUUGUACGUAGUCGCUUCCAAAUAGUAUACAACAAGAAGCGCUCGAAGCUUCGAGAAAUAACAUCUGGAAUCUUCGAUCGCUCUCCCUGUCGAGGACUAUUACCUGAAAUAGUUUUAGAUAAUCGAUUAUUAUUGUACAUGUACAUAUAAGUAAAUUCGAUUCGUAUUUCAACACGCUUUUAAUUCUACAUAUUAUAUUACUAAUGUGUAAUUGUAAAUAAUUCGUUUCCAGACUGUUAGAGAUCUCGUUUGUUGUUUUAAGUACACGUUUCUUUCCAUUUAGCACACAAGUGAUCUUUAGUUUAGUUAGGGGCUGGUUUUCGGUGUAAUUGUUUCUGGGGGUGAGUACACGCGUAACUAGUGGCUCCACCUAGCGGCGAUUACAUUGCAACUCGCCACGAAUUGACGUAUUAGUUUGUAUUUUGGUCAGUCAUUUAUUAUUUUCUUGUAGUCGUAAGAUUAACAUUUGAAUGCUUUCAGAGGCAAGCGAGGCAAGAUUCAUGUAAAUAUUAGACGGUAAAAUUAUAAGACUUUAGUUUUUAUGUUAAUAACAAACUGCCUCUGCUGUUAGUCGCAUAUUUUUUACUUUAAUUUCUAUUACAUAAGAUUCUUCUUACAAUUAUAUAAAAUGAUAAAAAAAAAAUAAUGAUAUCACCGUGCGGCCGAACGUUUGAGACGUGGAAAUUAAACUUAACGAAACAGUAUAAAAGCAGUUUAAAUUACUCGUCUCAAAAUCCAGUAGUGCGGAAGUUAGUAAGAUUUUUUCGUAUUUUAAGACGUUUUAUUUUCACUUACCAGUCGUGUUGUAAAUAUAUUUGUGCACUGAUAGACGUUGUUUAAGUUGAUCUAAUUUUAGAAUUAUUCAAAAUGGCUGUAUAUUAAUUGUACGUAAUGCCCUUAAGCAUAAGGGCCGUUCCACACAGUGGCAUCAGUAGCGCCACCUGGCGUUGAUUUUGAUUCUGUUAAUGCUAUCUGUGUGUCGGUCUUUACCACAAGAGACACUUAUUGGUUCUGUGAUAAAGCUAUUCUAACGAGGAAUACUUAAUUUUUUUUUUAAACUUGAAAUAUACUCGAAUUUUGAGGAGCUUACUAAUCUAUCGCGUAACAACCGAAACAGUAGAAGAUUAUAAAGCGUUUCAAAUUUGAGUGUAUUCUGAGAAUUUUUAUAAGGAACCAUUGAAUGUCGCUUUGCGGAUGUUAGACAAAUAGUCGGAGUUGCUUUUAUUUGCGAUAGGGAACUAUCGAUUUCCUAUAUACGAUUAGUUACGUCACACUUCUAGGAUUGUGAUUUAGUUCGAAAGUGACAGGACGAUUGUAAAUAUAUUUGUAUUACUGUCGAGUUAGUUGCAUUUUACCAUUGUUGCGAACUGCCAAAACUAUUGUAAUAAUUUUUUAGCGUCUUGUACCGGACACACGGAUAAUAGCAAUGUCUCACUUGAACUCAGUCGUCUAUUUCGUGUACUAGGCAAUAUGUGUCGCUCAGUACAAACCUAGUUAGAAAAUAUCAUUUAUAUUUCGUCGCUCAAUGUGAAUACAGCUUAAGUUGGACCGUUCAACAAUUAUAGACCGUAUCACAGUAACGAUAAGGUACAUUUUUCUAACUAGAUUUGUAAUGCAGAGUAUAAAUGUAUUAGAUUGUGAAGCUACUUAGGUACCGGAAGUAAGAGCAUUGUAAAACGUGAUGUGCUUAUAUACUACUCUAAUUAAUGUAACUGUAGUGUAAUUUUGGUGUAAAUGAUGUGUAAAUGUGACCUUCCGGUAAGUGGUAAGUGGUGAGAAGUGAGAGUUUGUAGUUAUCUGUGUAGGCGGUAGCGUAGCGGGCGUAGCUCCACCAUUGGACCCGUUCUAACAAUAAAACUAUUGCAUAAUUA